GAUGAACGCUGGCGGCGUGCCUAAUACAUGCAAGUCGAGCGAACGGACGAGAAGCUUGCUUCUCUGAUGUUAGCGGCGGACGGGUGAGUAACACGUGGAUAACCUACCUAUAAGACUGGGAUAACUUCGGGAAACCGGAGCUAAUACCGGAUGAUAUUUUGAACCGCAUGGUUCAAAAGUGAAAGACGGUCUUGCUGUCACUUAUAGAUGGAUCCGCGCUGCAUUAGCUAGUUGGUAAGGUAACGGCUUACCAAGGCAACGAUGCAUAGCCGACCUGAGAGGGUGGUCGGCCACACUGGAGCUGGGACACGGUCCAGGCUCCUACGGGAGGCAGCAGUAGGGAAUCUUCCGCAAUGGGCGAAAGCCUGACGGAACAACGCCGCGUGAGUGAUGAAGGUCUUCGGAUCGUAAAACUCUGUUAUUAGGGAAGAACAUAUGUGUAAGUAACUGUGCACAUCUUGACGGUACCUAAUCAGAAAGCCACGGCUAACUACGUG
rnacentral:rRNA from 1 species